AUUGAACGCUGGCGGCAGGCCUAACACAUGCAAGUCGAACGAGGGGCGGACGGGUGAGAAAUGUCUGGGAAAGUGCGUGAUGGAGGGGGAUAACUACUGGAAACUGUAGCUAAUACCGCAUACCAUCAGAUGUGCCCAGAUGGGUUUAGCUAGUAGGUGGGGUAAUGGCUCACCUAGGCGACGAUCCCUAGCUGGUCUGAGAGGAUGACCAGCCACACUGGAACUGAGACACGGUCCAGACUCCUACGGGAGGCAGCAGUGGGGAAUAUUGCACAAUGGGCGCAAGCCUGAUGCAGCCAGGCCGCGUGUAUGAAGAAGGCCUUCGGGUUGUAAAGUACUUUCAGCGAGGAGGCGUUACUCGCAGAAGAAGCACCGGCUAACUCCGUGCCAGCAGCCGCGGUAAUUC
rnacentral:rRNA from 1 species